rnacentral:rRNA from 1 species
GUGAGGAAUUUUCCGCAAUGGGCGAAAGCCUGACGGAGCAAUGCCGCGUGAAGGAUGAAGGCCUAUGGGUUGUAAACUUCUUUUCUUAGAGAAGAAUAUUGACGGUAUCUGAGGAAUAAGCAUCGGCUAACUCUGUGCCAGCAGCCGCGGUAAGACAGAGGAUGCAAGCGUUAUCCGGAAUGAUUGGGCGUAAAGCGUCUGUAGUUGGCUUCAAAAGUCUCCUGUCAAAUAUCAGCGCUUAACCCUGGGCCGGCAGGAGAAACUCUGAGGAUAGAGGUUGGUAGGGGCAGAGGGAACUCCCGGUGGAGCGGUGAAAUGCGUAGAGAUCGGGAGGAACACCAAAGGCGAAAGCACUCUGCUGGGCCACAACUGACACUGAGAGACGAAAGCGAGGGGAGCAAAAGGGAUUAGAUACCCGGGUAGUCC